GACAGAGGUGCCAAGCGUUAGGCGGAAUCACUGGGCUUAAAGCGUGUGUAGGCGGAUUGGUAAGUACCUUGUGAAAUCCCACAGCUCAACUGUGGAACUGCUGGGUAUACUGCUUAUCUUGAGCCACUUAGGGGCUGUCGGAACAAUGGUGGAGCGGUAAAAUGCGUAGAUAUCAUUGGAACGCCAAAGGUGAAAACAGACAGCUGGGAGUGUGCUGAC
rnacentral:rRNA from 1 species